rnacentral:rRNA from 1 species
CAUUACAUUCUCCCCAGCACUAACGCACUGGAUGCCAUCAGAACUCCGAAGUUAAGCGUGCCUGGCUAGAGUAGUACUAGGAUUAGUGACCCCCUGGGAAGUCCUCGUGUUGCAUCUA